GUGUCUGUAGCUCAGUGGAUAGAGUGAUUGUUUCCUAAGAAAAAGGUCGUGGGUUCGACCCCUAGCUGAUGCA
rfam:Spinacia oleracea cultivar SynViroflay scaffold43442.con0005.1, whole genome shotgun sequence.